CCUGAUGUGGCUCAGCAGUAGAGCACAUACCUUGUAUGCAUGUGGUCCGGGGUUCAAUCCCUGGCACCAUGU
rnacentral:tRNA from 1 species